rnacentral:rRNA from 1 species
UGCCAGACUCCUACGGGAGGCAGCAGUGGGGGAUAUUGCACAAUGGGGGAAACCCUGAUGCAGCGACGCCGCGUGAGUGAAGAAGUAAUUCGUUACGUAAAGCUCUAUCAGCAGGGAAGAAAAUGACGGUACCUGACUAAGAAGCCCCGGCUAACUACGUGCCAGCAGCCGCGGUAAUACGUAGGGGGCAAGCGUUAUCCGGAUUUACUGGGUGUAAAGGGAGCGUAGACGGCUGUGCAAGCCAGAUGUGAAAGCCCGGGGCUCAACCCCGGGACUGCAUUUGGAACUGUGUGGCUGGAGUGUCGGAGAGGCAGGCGGAAUUCCUAGUGUAGCGGUGAAAUGCGUAGAUAUUAGGAGGAACACCAGUGGCGAAGGCGGCUUACUGGACUGUAACUGACGUUGAGGCUCGAAAGCGUGGGGAGCAAACAGGAUUAGAUACCCGGGUAC